rnacentral:rRNA from 1 species
UUCAGCCGCCGCGGUAAUACCAGCUCUCCUAGUGGUAGGGACAAUUAUUGGGCUUAAAGCGUCCGUAGCCAGCCCCUCAAGUCUCUCGUUAAAUCCAACGAUUCAAUCGCUGGACUGCGGGAGAUACUGUAGGGCUAGGGGGCGGGAGAAGCCGACGGUAUUCUUGGGGUAGGGGUAAAAUCCUAUAAUCCCGGGAAGACCACCAGUGGCGUAGGCGGUCGGCAAGCACGCGCCCGACGGUAAGGGACGAAAGCUGGGGGAGCGAACCGGAUUAGAUACCCGGGUAGUCCCAGCCGUAAACGAUGCGGGCUAGGUGUUGGAGCGGCUACGAGCCGCUUCAGUGCCGCAGGGAAGCCAUUAAGCCCGCCGCCUGGGGAGUACGGCCGCAAGGCUGAAACUUAAAGGAAUUGGCGGGGGAGCACA